GACGAACGCUGGCGGCGUGCUUAACACAUGCAAGUCGAACGGAAAGGCCCUGCUUUUGUGGGGUGCUCGAGUGGCGAACGGGUGAGUAACACGUGAGUAACCUGCCCUUGACUUUGGGAUAACUUCAGGAAACUGGGGCUAAUACCGGCUAGGAGCUCCUGCUGCAUGGUGGGGGUUGGAAAGUUUGGGCGGUUGGGGAUGGACUCGGGGCUUAUCAGCUUGUUGGUGGGGUAGUGGCUUACCAAGGCUUUGACGGGUAGCCGGCCUGAGAGGGUGACCGGCCACAUUGGGACUGAGAUACGGCCCAGACUCCUACGGGGGGCAGAAGUGGAGAAUAUGGCACAAUGGGCGGAAGCCUGAUGCAGCAACGCCGCGUGCGGGAUGACGGCCUUCGGGUUGUAAACCGCUUUCGCCUGUGACGAAGCGUGAGUGACGGUAAUGGGUAAAGAAGCACCGGCUAACUACGUG
rnacentral:rRNA from 1 species